rnacentral:rRNA from 1 species
UUUUUAUUUAGUAUAUAAAAGAACUUUUUUGUUUGUGAUAGUUAAUUAGUACUGUUAAGGAAUUGGUGAAAUAAUUUAAAUAGAAUAUAAUUGUAAGUAUACUUAUUUUGUAGUACCUUUUGUAUCAGGGUUAAUCAAUUAGAUUAAUAUAUAUUUGAGUCUCGAUUUCAAAAGAGCUAAAUUACUAUUUUAUUUAAUGUGUAAUAAUUAUUAAUAAUAUAAUUUAGGAAAGAAAUUUUAUUCGUUUUUGAGGGUAUCUAGUUUUUUAAGAAUUAAAUUUAAUUUAUUUUUAUCUCGUAAAUAAUAUAUUAAAUUAUAUUUUAUGAAGAUAAAUUAAAGAAUAUAGGGGAUAAGCUCUAUGGAGUUCUAUAAAAAUUUUAUUAAUUAAUUUUUGUAGGGUUAAAAUUAUCCAUCAUUAGUAAUUGUGUUAUAAUUUAUAUUAAAAAAUUAUUAAUUUUAUUUUUUUUAGUAGCAUAUUAAAAUAUUAAAAUAAAUUUUUAACUUUAGGUAAUAAUGAUUAAAUUAGUAUAAAAUUUUGUUUAUGAUAUUAAUUAUUUUAUAAUAAGUUAAGGAACUCGGCAAUUACAGUUCUCGCCUGUUUAUCAAAAACAUGUCCUUUUGUAUUUAAUGGAAGGUCUGACCUGCCCAGUGAUGAGUUUAACGGCCGCGGUAUUUUGACCGUGCAAAGGUAGCAUAAUCAUUAGUCUUUUAAUAGAGGGCUGGAAUGAAAGGUUUGACGAGGAACUAACUGUCUCAACUUAUAUGUUUUAAAAUUUAAUUUUUUAGUUAAAAAGCUAAAAUUCUAUUGGAAGACGAGAAGACCCUAUAGAGCUUUAUAUAAAAUUAUUUAAUUGUUUAUAUAUUAAUAAUAUUAAAUAAUUUUGUGUUAUGUUGGGGUGACAAAAAUAUAUAAUUAACUUUUUUAUUUGAUUAACAUUGAUUUAUGAAUAUUAGAUCCAUUAUUAUUGAUUAUUAGACUAAGUUACCUUAGGGAUAACAGCGUAAUCCUCCCCCAGAGUUCAUAUUUACGGGAUGGGCUUGCGACCU